UCAGGUAUAGGGUGAGAGUUAAAAUUAGAGAUAGGGCUAGAGUUAGGGUUUGGCAUAGCAUUAAGGCUAGGUAUAGGCCUAAGAUGAGGACUAGUGUUUGUGUUAGGGUUAGGGCUAGGAUUAGGACUGGUGCUAAUGUCAGGUCUGGUUUUAUGGUUAUGGUUAGUUUUAGGGUUAUUCUAUGGCUAGCUCUAGUGUAAGGGUUAAGAUUAGGUUAAGGGUCAGGUUUAAAUCUAGGUGUAUUAUUAGGGUCAGGGUACGAGUAGGGUUUGGUUUAGGUUAAGAUUUAGGGUUAAGCUUUGAAUUAGCUUUACCAAUAAGUUUAGGGUCUGGGUUAGGGUAAUUGAUAGGGUUAGGUUAAUGGUUCUGGUUAGGUUUAGAGUAAGGAAUAGGGUUAGUGUUAGCAAUAGUGUUACCGUUAGGCCUAGGGUUAGCAUUUGGCUUAGGCUUAUCUUUAGGGUAAUGGGUAGGGUUAGAGAUAAGGUUAGGGCUAUGGAUGAGGUUAGAAUUAGUAAUAGGGUUAGGUUUAGGCCUAGGGUUAGGGUCUGAGUUAGUUUUGGGGUAAGUGUUAGUGUUUGAGCCAGGAUCAGGGCUAGCGUGAGGGUUAGGGUUAGAGUGAGGACUAAUGUUCGGAUUAGCGUUAGGGUUAUGUUUAGAUUAAAGUUAGAGUUUGAGUUAGAAUUAGGGAUACGGUGAGGGUUAGGUUUAGGGUUAGGUCUAGGCUUAUGGUUAGGGUUACAAUAGAGUUAGUGUUUACUUUAGGAUUAUGGCUAGGAUAAGGGCAAUGGUUUGUGUGAUGUUUAUGGGUAUCAUUAGGGGUAUGGGUAAUGUAAGAGCUAAAGAUAUGGUUAUGGCUAGUUUUAGGGUUAGCGUUAUGGAUAAGUCCAGUGUUCUACUUAGGUUUUGGGUUAGGAUAAGAUUUAGAGCUAGGGUUUGUUUUAGGGUAACUGUCAUUGUAGGGUUAGGUUUAGGUUUAGGGUGAGGGCCAGAUUUAUGGCUAGCGUUGGGUCUAGGGAUAGAGUUAGU
rnacentral:lncRNA from 1 species